rnacentral:lncRNA from 1 species
AUCGCGAUAGCAGCAGCGGCCGGGCAGAGAUUCACCAACAAUAGCAAAUUACACACUGGCUUGGAAAGUACUCCCAUGUUCCGUUUGAUCUUGGCAAUUUAAUGCUGUUCUUGAAGACUAAUUAGUUACACUGGAUAUGCUGCUGUUCUUUACUUUGGGAUUGCUUAUACAUUUUGUGUUCUUCGCCUCCAUCUUUGACAUUUAUUUUACAUCUCCUUUGGUUCAUGGAAUGACUCCUCAGUUUACACCAUUGCCUCCUCCAGCGAGAAGAUUAGUGUUGUUUGUUGCUGAUGGCCUUCGAGCAGAUGCACUUUACGAAUUAGAUGAAAAUGGAAACUCUAGAGCACCGUUUAUUAGGAAUAUCAUAAUGCAUGAAGGCAGCUGGGGCAUAUCUCAUACACGUGUGCCAACAGAAUCUCGGCCAGGUCAUGUAGCUCUGAUAGCUGGGUUUUAUGAAGAUGUCAGUGCAGUUGCCAAAGGAUGGAAGGAAAAUCCUGUAGAGUUUGAUUCUCUUUUUAAUGAAAGUAAAUACACAUGGAGCUGGGGAAGCC